CGGGGAGGUGGGGGUGGGGGCAAGGUCGUCCAGGCGGGGCGGAAGUCCUGGCCCGCGGGCACCUGGACUCUGCCCUCCCGGCAGGCUCCCAUCGCGGGCCAAGGGGCCUCCUCCGAGCCCGGGAGCAGGCCUGUCCUGGGCAUUCUUGGAAAUGCCAGCAGCACGUGGCCGCAGGAGAGCUGGAGGACCGUCCGUGACAUCAAGGACCUCCACAGUGUGCUGCAGCCGUCACAGUGAGUGGAUUCCAGGACUUUGGCAGGACCCAAACCCAAAUUCUACCAUCAGGCGGAAAGCUGAGUUUCUCAAAAUCAAGCUUCAUAAAAGUGCACGGACAGAACUUCCAACAAAUACUGGAGGAACAUUGACUGCAUUCCGGGCCUCGUUCUAGGCACAUCUCCAGAGCCGUUACAAGGCAAAAGGCAAGCCGCGACGGCAUAAACUUUGUUAAUAAAAUCAAAAGAUUUUUAUAGCAGAAUACAAAACAUAGCUGUGGCUAUAAGCCCAAUGAGAAAGCUGUGAAUCUGGGCCGUCCAGGUGGCUCAGUGGGUUAAGCAUCUGCCUUCAGCUUAGAUCGUGAUCUCAGGGUCCUGGGAUCGAGCCCCAUGUGGGGCUCCCUGCUCAGUGGGGAGCCUGCUUCUCCCUCUACCCUCCCCUCAAAUAAAUAAAAUCGUUGAAAACAACAACAACUAGGAGCUGCUGCUUUACUUGUGAGCUCGUGCUGCUGCAGACGGCAAAGUGGGGGAAUGGCCGCCCGAACCCCUUCAUUCAUUCCCUCAUGUUUCCAUUCGGUGGACGCUUCCCACUCUCUGUGAGCUGCUCCCCUCUAUGAGCUCACGGAAGGCGCUCUGUCCUACUGGUGCCGCCUCCUGCCUUUGAGGUCUCCAGCAUCAUCACCUGAAGUCUUGGAGCCGUAAUUUCCUCAUUUGCAAGUUGGGGGGAAUCACAUCCGUGGUACUAGGUUGUUGGAAUGUAUUGGGCGGACUUACGUAGGCGGGGCGUGUUGCAUAAUGGACAUUCAGGGAAGGUGCUAGCUGCCUUGGGGGGUGCAGAGGGAAAUCGGGCACCAUGCCUGACCUCAAGGUGGUACAGACUGUGUGUGGGGGGACUGGAGAGUAACAGGUUAUAAUACAGUGAGGCUAGCCCCGAGGCCACGGGGAAGGAGACACCCGAGUGGUGCUCUCGAGGAUGCAUGGAAACUCCCCACCAAAAACGUGGGGGGUAUUGAAAGCACGGAGAGGAGCAGGUCAAAGACAGGGAGGUGUCAAGGUACAGGGCUCACAGAGGGAACGUGAACCAGUUCGUGCUGGCCGGGCUGAGGACCAGGUGCGGAACAGGCUGGAGAGAGAGACUCGGGUCCGCUCACAAUGGGUCUUCUGUGCCACCUAAGUCGUUGGUGCUGGAGGCGUUGGUCAGGAUGCCUGUCAUUCCAGCUUCCCUUUCCAGGCCAAACGGAGCCACCCACUCGGGCAAGCUGGGCUAAGCUGCUUUAAAAAAAA